rnacentral:misc_RNA from 1 species
UUGAAUUUUAAUGAAGAGUUUGGUUGUAGCUGGCCCAUUCAUUUGGGCAUGUGCACACCUUCCUCCUUCAUCCCACACACACCUGUGAACCUGUGGGACAGAGAUGGGGAAUUUACUUGCUGCUUUUUGGAAUACAAAGGCAAUAGGUUAUUGGACCCCCCCUCUGUCUACUCAAUUAAUAUAAACUCAAUUUAUUUUAAAACGAAUGUAAUGGAUGUAACACAUCUCAUAC